rnacentral:rRNA from 1 species
GUAACACGUCCUUUACAUGCCCAGGGGACGUGGAUAACCUCGGGAAACUCAUAUUAAACCGCGAUAGGUCAAGAUUUCUGGAAUGGAUCGUGUCUUAAAUCUACAUGGCCCCUGGAUUGGACUGCGGCCGAUCAGGCUGUUGGUGAGGUAAUGGCCCACCAAACCUAUAACCGGUACGGGCUCUGAGAGGAGAAGCCCGGAGAUGGGCACUGAGACAAGGGCCCAGGCCCUAUGGGGCGCAGCAGGCGCGAAACCUCUGCAAUGGGCGAAAGCCUGACAGGGUUACUCUGAGUGAUUUCCGCUAAGGAGAUCUUUUGGCAGCUCUAAAAAUGGUGCAGAAUAAGGGGUGGGCAAGUCUGGUGUCAGCCGCCGCGGUAAUACCAGCACCCCGAGUGGUCGGGACGAUUAUUGGGCCUAAAGCAUCCGUAGCCGGUCGUGCAAGUCCUCCGUUAAAUCCAGCUGCUCAACGGAUGGGCUGCGGAGGAUACUACAGGACUAGGAGGCGGGAGAGGCAAGCGGUACUUAGUGGGUAGGGGUAAAAUCCUUUGAUCCAUUGAAGA